rnacentral:rRNA from 1 species
AUUGAACGCUGGCGGCAGGCCUAACACAUGCAAGUCGAGCGGAUGAGAGGAGCUUGCUUCUCGAUUCAGCGGCGGACGGGUGAGUAAUGCCUAGGAAUCUGCCUGGUAGUGUGGGACAGCGUUUCGACAGGAACGCUAAUACCGCAUACGUCCUACGGGAGAAAGCAGGGGACCUUCGGGCCUUGCGCUAUCAGAUGAGCAUAGGUCGGAUUAGCUAGUUGGUUGGGUAAUGGCUCAACAAGGCGACGAUGCGUGACUGGUCGGAGAGGAUGAUCAGUCACAGUGGAACUGAGACACGGUCCAGACUCCUACGAGAAGCAGCAGUGGGGAAUAUUGGACAAUGGGCGAAAGCCUGAUCCAGCCAUGCCGCGUGUGUGAAGAAGGUCUUCGGAUUGUAAAGCACUUUAAGUUGGGAGGAAGGGUUGUAGAUUAAUACUCUGCAAUUUUGACGUUACCGACAGAAUAAGCACCGGCUAACUCUGUGCCAGCAGCCGCGGUAACAC